GAUGAACGCUAGCUACAGGCUUAACACAUGCAAGUCGGGGGGAAACGACAUCGAAAGCUUGCUUUUGAUGGGCGUCGACCGGCGCACGGGUGAGUAACGCGUAUCCAACCUGCCCAUCACUUGGGAAUAACCUUGCGAAAGUAAGACUAAUACCCAAUGACAUCCCACGAAGACAUCUGAAUGGGAUUAAAGAUUUAUCGGUGAUGGAUGGGGAUGCGUCUGAUUAGCUUGUUGGCGGGGUAACGGCCCACCAAGGCAACGAUCGGUAGGGGUUCUGAGAGGAAGGUCCCCCACAUUGGAACUGAGACACGGUCCAAACUCCUACGGGAGGCAGCAGUGAGGAAUAUUGGUCAAUGGGCGAGAGCCUGAACCAGCCAAGUAGCGUGCAGGAUGACGGCCCUAUGGGUUGUAAACUGCUUUUAUAAGGGAAUAAAGUGGGUCUCGUGAGACUUUUUGCAUGUACCUUAUGAAUAAGGACCGGCUAAUUCCGUG
rnacentral:rRNA from 1 species